UUGAAGAGUUUGAUCAUGGCUCAGAUUGAACGCUGGCGGCAGGCCUAACACAUGCAAGUCGAACGGUAACAGGAAGCAGCUUGCUGCUUUGCUGACGAGUGGCGGACGGGUGAGUAAUGUCUGGGAAACUGCCUGAUGGAGGGGGAUAACUACUGGAAACGGUAGCUAAUACCGCAUAACGUCGCAAGACCAAAGAGGGGGACCUUCGGGCCUCUUGCCAUCGGAUGUGCCCAGAUGGGAUUAGCUAGUAGGUGGGGUAACGGCUCACCUAGGCGACGAUCCCUAGCUGGUCUGAGAGGAUGACCAGCCACACUGGAACUGAGACACGGUCCAGACUCCUACGGGAGGCAGCAGUGGGGAAUAUUGCACAAUGGGCGCAAGCCUGAUGCAGCCAUGCCGCGUGUAUGAAGAAGGCCUUCGGGUUGUAAAGUACUUUCAGCGGGGAGGAAGGGAGUAAAGUUAAUACCUUUGCUCAUUGACGUUACCCGCAGAAGAAGCACCGGCUAACUCCGUGCCAGCAGCCGCGGUAAUACGGAGGGUGCAAGCGUUAAUCGGAAUUACUGGGCGUAAAGCGCACGCAGGCGGUUUGUUAAGUCAGAUGUGAAAUCCCCGGGCUCAACCUGGGAACUGCAUCUGAUACUGGCAAGCUUGAGUCUCGUAGGGGGGGUAGAAUUCCAGGUGUAGCGGUGAAAUGCGUAGAGAUCUGGAGGAAUACCGGUGGCGAAGGCGGCCCCCUGGACGAAGACUGACGCUCAGGUGCGAAAGCGUGGGGAGCAAACAGGAUUAGAUACCCUGGUAGUCCACGCCGUAAACGAUGUCGACUUGGAGGUUGUGCCCUUGAGGCGUGGCUUCCGGAGCUAACGCGUUAAGUCGACCGCCUGGGGAGUACGGCCGCAAGGUUAAAACUCAAAUGAAUUGACGGGGGCCCGCACAAGCGGUGGAGCAUGUGGUUUAAUUCGAUGCAACGCGAAGAACCUUACCUGGUCUUGACAUCCACGGAAGUUUUCAGAGAUGAGAAUGUGCCUUCGGGAACCGUGAGACAGGUGCUGCAUGGCUGUCGUCAGCUCGUGUUGUGAAAUGUUGGGUUAAGUCCCGCAACGAGCGCAACCCUUAUCCUUUGUUGCCAGCGGUCCGGCCGGGAACUCAAAGGAGACUGCCAGUGAUAAACUGGAGGAAGGUGGGGAUGACGUCAAGUCAUCAUGGCCCUUACGACCAGGGCUACACACGUGCUACAAUGGCGCAUACAAAGAGAAGCGACCUCGCGAGAGCAAGCGGACCUCAUAAAGUGCGUCGUAGUCCGGAUUGGAGUCUGCAACUCGACUCCAUGAAGUCGGAAUCGCUAGUAAUCGUGGAUCAGAAUGCCACGGUGAAUACGUUCCCGGGCCUUGUACACACCGCCCGUCACACCAUGGGAGUGGGUUGCAAAAGAAGUAGGUAGCUUAACCUUCGGGAGGGCGCUUACCACUUUGUGAUUCAUGACUGGGGUGAAGUCGUAACAAGGUAACCGUAGGGGAACCUGCGGUUGGAUCACCUCCUU
rnacentral:rRNA from 1 species